rnacentral:rRNA from 1 species
UACAGAGGGGCAAGCGUUGUUCGGAAUUACUGGGCGUAAAGGGCGCGUAGGCGGCCUGUUAAGUCGAACGUGAAAUCCCCGGGCUCAACCCGGGAACUGCGUCCGAUACUGGCAGGCUUGAAUCCGGGAGAGGGAUGCGGAAUUCCAGGUGUAGCGGUGAAAUGCGUAGAUAUCUGGAGAACACCGGUGGCGAAGGCGGCAUCCUGGACCGGCAU